UACACUCCUACGGGAGGCAGCAGUAGGGAAUCUUCCACAAUGGGUGCAAACCUGAUGGAGCAAUGCCGCGUGAGUGAAGAAGGUCUUCGGAUCGUAAAGCUCUGUUGUUAGAGAAGAACACGUGCUAGGUAACUACUAGCGCCUUGACGGUAUCUAACCAGAAAGUCACGGCUAACUACGUGCCAGCAGCCGCGGUAAUACGUAGGUGACAAGCGUUGUCCGGAUUUAUUGGGCGUAAAGGGAGCGCAGGCGGUCUGUUUAGUCUAAUGUGAAAGCCCACGGCUUAACCGUGGAACGGCAUUGGAAACUGACAGACUUGAAUGUAGAAGAGGAAAAUGGAAUUCCAAGUGUAGCGGUGGAAUGCGUAGAUAUUUGGAGGAACACCAGUGGCGAAGGCGAUUUUCUGGUCUAACAUUGACGCUGAGGCUCGAAAGCGUGGGGAGCGAACAGGAUUAGAAACCCGAGUAGUCCC
rnacentral:rRNA from 1 species